GCACCCCGCUCCGUCCUCGCCUCGCGGCUCCCCUCCCGUAACCCUACCCCCUCCUCUCCUCUGCGCCGCCGCCGCCGCCGCCGCCAGUCCUCCUCCCCUCACACCGCGCCCGCACGGCCCUGCUACGCCGCUGCCGCUCGCCCUUUGGGUGAGAAACCUAGCCGGCUCCACUCGCGCGCCUCCCUCCCUCCCAGUCCUUCCUCUCUCCCAUCGCAGUCGCCACCUACCGCUCGCGCCGCCGCAUCCCCGUCGAGGUCGUGCAUCACAUCUUCGUGAGUUGAGGAAGCUGGCGCUGCUCUUCCCGGAGGAGCGCGCUGUCGCACCGUCAACGGGAGAAGGUCAGGCGGAGCGCACCGUCGCCGCUGGCUGGCGCGUCGACGGGAGGAGGCCAGGCAGUCCGCGCCGUCACCCGCUCGUGCUCCUCGCUGGUGUGCGCAGCCACGCCUGCUCCACCCGAGCUCGUGCACGCCGACCACCCCCGGUCCUGACCUAGGGUUUGGUGGGGUGAGCUUGCAGCCAUCCGCUUCGGUGGCCCACCAGCCGCGCAGCAUCCACACCCAGACGGGAAGAGCACAUGUCGUCGUUGUUCUAUCAGGAGGAGAGCACCGUCACCAUCACCCAACCGUCCUCCCCCCCUGAUUGUUUCAGAUUGGAAGUGGCUUGCACACAUAAAUCCAAGCAAGUUGACGGGAGGAUUCAUCUGUGCAUUUGAGCUACAGGGAGACUCCUGCAGCAGUUGGGCUCUGGUACGGCAAGUUCUGCAAUGCGGGGUGGAGCGGCUAUGGAGGGAGGACCCCUGCGAUGACCUCGAUGCCUGCUGCAGCGACCAUGACCACUGCAUCAAAAAGGAAGGUACUAACUAAGCUACAUACAUAUUCCUAGCUUCGGGAAGAAAGGACUAGAUCGGUCAACACGGGCUUCCCUGAACAACCAUACAUCAUGUUGCGUUAUUUUGACAUGCGAAUUCAAUUGCUAGCAAUGAUUGAUGGGCUGAGCCAGCAGUGACUUUUGUGGCUAGAAAGUUUCAGACUUUUUAGUCUCUGCUUGCUCUAUUCUGUUCUUUCAUUUACAACCACUAUUUGAACAGCUCUGCAUGAUAGGUAUAACAAGUUGUGUUGUCGUCUUAUUCUCGAAUAACUAGCUGCAACUGCAUUUGUGUUGCGUUGUGGCGUGAUCAUUGGAUGGUGGAUUAGCACCAGUGCCUAACUAUGUUCCUAGAAUGUAAAAUUUGGAUAAGCAUAGUUCACUUUUGUAUCUCAGCCUAGAUUGAUUGAAAUAAUUGCUUGCAAAAACUUAUAUGGUAGGAAACUAAAAACUAGAUAAGAUAUGUAGAUGCAAUCUUUUGUUUCCUGUAUAGGAUAAUUUGUUUAUCUAUUUAUUUGAUCCUUACCGUCGGUUGUCCAUGAUGGAAUGGAAGUUAAAGUUAGCAUCUAAACUGAUGGAAUGGAAGUUAAAGUUAGCAUGUAAACUGAUUAAUUAAUGAAUAUUUCUAUCUCCACUAUUCUGUUGUGUGGGCAAUUUCUUGCCAUUGGUCCAUUAUAACCCUUAUUAGAUAUGCUGCAACAUGCUCCUAUCUGAAAUUGAUGAUUCCUAUUUUUUGUUGAAAAUUACUUGUCUAUUUUGCAUCUAGAAUUUUAGUUUAGAUAAGGUUACUCUCAGGAAAAACUAGGCAGCAGGAGGAAAAGGUAUGCCCCGAAGGCCAACUCUGCCUCUUAUAUCUUUAUUAGUAUUUUUAUGUGUUUUGCUACACAGCCGUGUGUUGAUUAGUGCGUACAUAACUCACCCUGAUCGUUCGAUUGAACAUGGCUACUACACCUGAAUUGCAGAGCUGGCUGGGUUUUUUUGAUUAAUUAUAUGGUGAUGCCGUCAUGAGCUCAAGGGUUUGCGGUUGUUUUGUAGGCAGCGGCUCAAAAUUCAGAAACAACAAAAAAACAUUAGGUUGAUUCAGCAGACGAAAAAAUUAGGAAUAGGAUCUUCAUAUCUAUGUUUACUCGAAAAAAAAUUAGGUAUACUAGCUAGCUAACUGUAUCUCUCAGUCUCAUGAUUAUCCUGUAGCUAAGUCUCUUCCAUGUGCAUAUUCUAUGUUAGUGCAUAACCUGUUAGCUGCUUAUUUACUCUUUGUUUUAAUUGGUUAGAAAAAGCACUACAUGAUCAUGGUUCUGAUUGUACACCUUUUUAGCUAAUGGUGUCCUUAAGCAUGUGGUUGCCACUGAGACGCUAAGAGAUGCCGCAGAUAAUUAAACUAAUCAAGGCACAAUUUUUUGACCACAGAUCAAGCUUAUCUCUUCUGCAGAGAAAAAUAAUGCAGGGGAAAAAGCAUGGCGUGCCACCAGCUCAUCUAUGAGAAUUGUUUAUUUAGCUUUGCGUAAUUAUUGCAAGCAACAAUUAUUUGAUUAUUAUUCUGUUUUCGUGCAUUUUUCUAAGAUUGUCGUUAACCACCUUUAGAAAUAACUCAUGCAUUUUAUAAUAGUAUGACUGAAUGAUUUUUAACAAAGACAAUUUCUGAACCCUGUUAUCAUAGAAUGGUUAUUGUGAACAAAAUACCAAUCCUUUUCUUCAUUUUCUCUAUCAAUGUGUUGCCGUUUCAUCAUACCCUCGGUUUCAUCUUUACAUGCCUCUUACCUAUCUAUGUGUUACAGCUUGUAUGUCAUUUGUAUUUUAUUUCUACUGUAUUCUAUAAUCUGAUGCAAUUAUGCAAAACCAUAGAAGAUUCUGACAGACUAAGUGGUUCUUAAUUCUCUGUUCGAGGAAAUUUAGAAUGAAGGCCAAACCGGCUAAGUGGAAAGCAAAGUGGUAGAUAAAAUUGGAAAUCUGCUUGAGAUGGACAAGGUUGCAUUUCUGCCUUCCAAAAUUCGCUCUUCCAGAUCACUAAAGGUGCAAAAGUUGAUCCAAGAGCGACUCUGGCACCUCACAACCUGCUAACUAAUGCAUUAUUGAUAUGUAUAUUCUCCAUUAAAAUUUUGUGUGUUCUGCGCUAUUGUCACCUCUUUUCUGUGAUAUAUAACAGUGCCUAGAAUAUAAUUGGUUAUGUUCCUAUAUUUAACUUCACUCUAGGUUGGCAAAAAUUCAUAUUCUGUUCAAAAGCAUGUCAUCAAUAGUCAAAUGCUUCAGAACAGAAUGUGUUGUUUUAUUUUUUAUUUCUAUCAUAUAUAUUCUGCUUUGUUCUACAUAUGUAUGAUUUAUACUGGGGCAUAUGUAUAUCAUGCUUGCACCUUAAUCUUUCCUUGAGAAAUACCAGAGGAUGGGUCACUACUAUAGAUAGGUACCGUGCGCCAAGGCACACUCCAUCAUGUUAGUCUAUGCCCCCUUCCUCGGGUUCUGGAUUCUUGGCAUGCCUAUUGUUGUGCUCAGGCUGAUGAGGCAUCCUUGCAUUAAUGGAUUGAGAAUCAAAGAUCACAGGUUGAAUGUAUGAAUAUCUAAGCGGACUACUUAAUCUAUUUACUGAAGCAAGACAUGUUUAUAUGUCUAAAUGUCUCGCGUUGAGAGAGAAAAAAUAGCGUAUGUCGAUCUGGACAAUAUAUAUAUGUUGCUUACAUGUUUAUCCUUCAGAGUAUUCCAAACCCCAGUUCUAUGUCUUUUUCUUGAAACUAUUGUUUUGUUGAUUCAAAUUAUUUAAUGAACUAUGUUUUUUUAAUCUUAUGUAAUUAAAUGUCAAUCCCAAGGCGUCUUUGUAUAUUUGAAGUAAUUCUCAGAAGGUCGCAUCCAACGUUUACGAGUCGAAAGAGUUGAUGAGUCAUUCCAAGGUUGAGACUCAUAGACUAGUCUAGACUAGUGCGAGACUAGUCGACAUGGUACUGUAGCACUGAACUUACAGUACAUAACUAAUAAUACCUAGUAGUAGUAUGUAGUAUUACACUAUAUAAGUAUACAAGUAUAGUAUACAAUUGAAACAAGCAAAGUGGAGUCACUGAGGCAGAGCAGCACCAGCAACUAGCAGCAAGCACAGCAGCACCAGCAGUCUAUCUGCGAGCAGAGCAGCACCAACAGCAAGCAGAGCAGCACCAGCAGUCCAGCAGCGGAGCAGAGCAACAGCAGCGGCAAGCCAAGAAGAAAGAGGAGGAGAAAGGAGGGGCAAGGCAGAGCAGCACCAGCAGUCCAGCAGCGAGGCAGAGCAGCACUGAGGCUCACCUGCCUGAAGAGGAGAAGAGCACAAGGGGCCGGCGGCUCGAGGAGGGGCGUGAGACGAAGGAGCAGGAGGGGCGCGAGACGAAGGCGAUGGUGGAGCUUCAGAUCCGCGACGUGGGGCCGGCGACGGUGGAGCUUCAGAUCCGCGGCGGCGGGCGUCCAGCGGCCGGCGGUGCGAGGAGGGCUCGACGGGCGCGUCCAGCAGCCGGCGGCGCGUCCAGGUGAGGAGGGGAAAGAAAGGAUUAGGUCUCCCCCGGGAUGAGGCAUCGUAUUUAUACUCCCCCAGUUUUUUGAGUCGUUCGACUCGAACAUGUCGACUAGUCUGGACUAGUCGAUGACUGGCUCGACUCGUACAAGUAGUCUACACGAGAAACCGAGUCGACAGGCAGUUUGCGACUCAUAGACUAGUCGAGCGACUAGUCUAGACUAGUCGUUCGACUCGUAAUCGUUGGUCGCAUCGAACUUAUUAUUAUUGUUUUGUUCUAAACCUUGAAACUUCUGGUGCAUUAUGCUACAUAUUAUAUGAAAUGCAUCUAUGAAAUGUAACGAGUCUUCAUGCUUUGGACCAUU